rnacentral:lncRNA from 1 species
GUGAAAGAACACAUAUUGUGGGUAGGAUGAGCUAACAUAAUAAAAAUGACAAUCUGACCCAAAUUUAUUUACUUAUUUAGUGCCAUACCCAGUGAACUUCCAAAAAACUUUUUUACUGAAUUAGAAAAAAACAUAACAAAGUUCAUUUGGAAGAACAAAAGAUCAAGGAUAUCCAGGGAAAUCAUGAAAAAAAAAAUGCGAAGGAAGGUGGCCUUACAGUCCCAGAUCUCAAACUAUACUAUAAAGCAGCAGUCAUCGAAACAAUUUGGUACUGGCUAAGAGACAGAAAGGAGGAUCAGUGGAACAGACUUGGGACUUAUUGUAGGGAUAUGACUUUGAGAUGGUCUUGAAGUCUUCCGAAUCUUCAUUUCCCCAGCUCAAAUGAUGGAAUUAGUAGAAGUAGAAAGAGAAAGAGGAGGAAGAAGAAGAGGAGGAGAAGGAACAAGAAAAAGUAAUUGAAGCAUUUUGUAAAUUGUACGGAACAGAAGGAAGUUUAUAAGAACAUUCCUGGCAAAGAAGAUAAUUUUGAAAGCAACAUUUUGAAUUUAUUAUACACUUCUUUAAAAAUCAAGCUGAACAUAAGAGAUUCCUAGUUUAACAAAUAAUACUUUCUCCCCCUAUAAUAGCUCUUCCCAUUGUGAAGAGCUUUUAUGGCCCACAACUCUUUUCCUUUAAGAUAAAUCAAAUAAUUUUUCAUGAGCAGUAAAAAUAUUUAACUCACAUUUUGCAGUAGACUUUUCCUGGUCCUACUACUAGUGUCUUCUCCUUUCAGUUUAUCUUCUAUCCAUUAUAAAUAUCAUGUAUGGAUCCAGUUAUUUUCAUAUUGUAUCAACCAUCAGAAUGUGAAAAUCCUUCAGGGCAGGGACUGCUCUGAUCUUUAGUGCCUGUCAUAUAGUUAAGUGCUUAGUAAAUACUUGUUGACUUAACUUGAAUUCACUCUCUUUUUUGAUGAAAGUACUGAGAUAUUUAGAGAUGAUGCUUAGACUACAUCUCAAAAGUUUUGGUAGAUUAACUUUGUAAUUUGUUUUGAGGAAAUUACCUAUGGUUUCUGUAAUUUGUUCUUUUUGACCCACCAAUUCUUUAGGAUUAAAUUAGUUUGUCUCCAUUUGAUAUUGGAUGCUUUCCUCAAAUUCUUUUCAUUGAUUAUAAUUUAUGUGACACUGUAAAAGAUGUGUUUUUUAUUUUCUGCUUUUCUGCAAGUGUAAAUGAAACUUUUAUGAUUACGAUCAAUUUUUGUACAAGUGUAAUGCACAACUGAGA